CAGUAGCCACGGUAAUACGUAGGUCCCGAGCGUUGUCCGGAUUUAUUGGGCGUAAAGCGAGCGCAGGCGGUUAGACAAGUCUGAAGUUAAAGGCUGUGGCUUAACCAUAGUACGCUUUGGAAACUGUUUAACUUGAGUGCAAGAGGGGAGAGUGGAAUUCCAUGUGUAGCGGUGAAAUGCGUAGAUAUAUGGAGGAACACCGGUGGCGAAAGCGGCUCUCUGGCUUGUAACUGACGCUGAGGCUCGAAAGCGUGGGGAGCAAACAGGAUUAGAUACCCCCGUAGUCCCUGUCUCUUAUACA
rnacentral:rRNA from 1 species